rnacentral:rRNA from 1 species
AGUCGCGAACGGGUGAGUAACGCGUAGGUAACCUGCCUAUUAGCGGGGGAUAACUAUUGGAAACGAUAGGUAAUACCGCAUAAUAUUAAUUAUUGCAUGAUAAUUGAUUGAAAGAUGCAAGCGCAUCACUAGUAGAUGGACCUGCGUUGUAUUAGCUAGUUGGUAAGGUAAGAGCUUACCAAGGCGACGAUACAUAGCCGACCUGAGAGGGUGAUCGGCCACACUGGGACUGAGACACGGCCCAGACUCCUACGGGAGGCAGCAGUAGGGAAUCUUCGGCAAUGGACGAAAGUCUGACCGAGCAACGCCGCGUGAGUGAAGAAGGUUUUCGGAUCGUAAAGCUCUGUUGUAAGUCAAGAACGUGUGUGAGAGUGGAAAGUUCACACAGUGACGGUAGCUUACCAGAAAGGGACGGCUAACUACGUGCCAGCAGCCGCGGUAAUACGUAGGUCCCGAGCGUUGUCCGGAUUUAUUGGGCGUAAAGGGAGCGCAGGCGGUCAGGAAAGUCUGGAGUAAAAGGCUAUGGCUCAACCAUAGUGUGCUCUGGAAACUGUCUGACUUGAGUGCAGAAGGGGAGAGUGGAAUUCCAUGUGUAGCGGUGAAAUGCGUAGAUAUAUGGAGGAACACCAGUGGCGAAAGCGGCUCUCUGGUCUGUCACUGACGCUGAGGCUCGAAAGCGUGGGUAGCGAACAGGAUUAGAUACCCUGGUAGUCCACGCCGUAAACGAUGAGUGCUAGGUGUUAGGCCCUUUCCGGGGCUUAGUGCCGGAGCUAACGCAAUAAGCACUCCGCCUGGGGAGUACGACCGCAAGGUUGAAACUCAAAGGAAUUGACGGGGGCCCGCACAAGCGGUGGAGCAUGUGGUUUAAUUCGAAGCAACGCGAAGAACCUUACCAGGUCUUGACAUCCCGAUGCUAUUCUUAGAGAUAGGAAGUUACUUCGGUACAUCGGAGACAGGUGGUGCAUGGUUGUCGUCAGCUCGUGUCGUGAGAUGUUGGGUUAAGUCCCGCAACGAGCGCAACCCUUAUUGUUAGUUGCCAUCAUUAAGUUGGGCACUCUAGCGAGACUGCCGGUAAUAAACCGGAGGA